rnacentral:rRNA from 1 species
GACGAACGCUGGCGGCGUGCCUAAUACAUGCAAGUAGAACGCUGAAGGAGGAGCUUGCUUCUCUGGAUGAGUUGCGAACGGGUGAGUAACGCGUAGGUAACCUGCCUGGUAGCGGGGGAUAACUAUUGGAAACGAUAGCUAAUACCGCAUAAUAGUAGAUGUUGCAUGACAUUUGCUUAAAAGGUGCAAUUGUAUCACUACCAGAUGGACCUGCGUUGUAUUAGCUAGUUGGUGAGGUAACGGCUCACCAAGGCAACGAUACAUAGCCGACCUGAGAGGGUGAUCGGCCACACUGGGACUGAGACACGGCCCAGACUCCUACGGGAGGCAGCAGUAGGGAAUCUUCGGCAAUGGACGGAAGUCUGACCGAGCAACGCCGCGUGAGUGAAGAAGGUUUUCGGAUCGUAAAGCUCUGUUGUAAGAGAAGAACGAGUGUGAGAGUGGAAAGUGCACACUGUGACGGUAUCUUACCAGAAAGGGACGGCUAACUACGU